GAGUAGCUCAUUUUGAUGCCUCUCGCUACCCCUGGCCUUAGUUUUGAAGGAAUCAUGCGACACACUCGCACUCCACUACCCCAUCCCAUGGAAAAACGCUCCCACCAUUGAGGUGUUGACCAAAAUUUCGCUGUGUGCAUGAGACACACACUCGCACUCCUCCAGCCCUCCACAGCUGAACGCUCCCACCGUUGCGAAUUUGCGAGAAUUUUUGCUCUGAGCGUGAGACCCUGAAGCGCCAGAGAUGACACUAUGUGUAAAGACGAUCAUAAUUCGGUAUGGUCAAAAUGCGUCGUUUGUCGUUUCAUUUAUCUGGUAAUGAUGUUUUCACUUCAUCAAAAUUUUAAACAUUAACAACUAGGCUGAUAACAAUAAUUGAAAUGUGAAUCAGAAUAAAUUAAAUUCAUUUGAAGUAAAAUGAAUUCCAUUAUACUCUAUUUUGAUCAAAUGAUCAACACUUGUACAUAGUGCCAUUUACUUUGUGUUCUUCACUCUCGCGCUGUGUUGUGAUCGUUCGAAACUCAUUGCCAGAACGAAUGCAAAUUUCAUUUGGGAAGGAUCGGUGCCGGAAGAUGCAGUGAAAAUUAUAAAAUGUUUAUAGAAAAGUAAUUAAGUAAAUCGUGAAAGAUGUAAACGCAGGCGCAACUGCAGUUUGUUUUGUUACAUGAUCUACGGGUAAGUGCAUGCAUAAGAAGAAGAAUAUUUCAAAUGAUGUUUGUUUUUUAACAAUCGUAUUGCUUUUAAUGUUUGAUUAUUCUUCUAUUAUUUGCCAUCACACCUAGCUAUCUCAUUACCAAAGCAUCUGAUAGCCGAUCAAAGAAGGUGAAUCGGGCUUACAGAGUCGCCGUUUAAAUUCAAAUAUCUUCGUGAUCGAAAAACGCAUCAAACAACAAGUGUUUUUCUUCCAACAGCACGCGCCAUCGGUGGAGCAAGCAGCCACCGUUUUGAUCGCCAGUACGCGCCAUCAAGAAUUGAAAUAUUCCCGAAUAGCUCUGUGAAUAAAAAACUGCACAUUUACUGUCCGAA